rnacentral:rRNA from 1 species
AUGAUGCUUUGUGAUGUUUUGUCCUGUACUGCUUGUACCAUUUAUUCAAUAAAGUAUGCGUCGUACUAUGUCUUAGGUGGUUUGGUGGUCCAAUGCAUAUUCAAGCCUGAUAGGUCCAAUGCAUAUUCCUGCUUUUGCUCUUGCCGUUGUUGUGAUGCCUUAGGUGUGCCGGGAGAGAUGUCAGGGUUGCUUGGCACGGUUGUUGACGCAGCAAUAGGAUGGCUGGUGGAAAGCAUCCUUGGGAGCUUCUUCACUGGACAGAUGGAAGCAUGGACUCAUGAAAUCGGGCUUGCUGAAGAUGUGGAGAAGCUCAAAUUUGAGAUGAGGUACGUGGAGAUGGUUCUUGCUGCUGCCAGGGGAAGGAGGAUUGACAACAUGCCUCUGGCACAGUCACUGGCUGAUCUCAAAGAACUGCUUUAUGACUCAGAGGACGUGAUGGACGAGCUCGACUAUUACCGACUCCAGCAACGGAUCAAAAAAGGGAAAGGCUGUACUGCUCCUACUGGUACUAAUCCUGAUGGAAGCUAUGUGUCCUCAUCCACUCUAUCUUCUGUUGUUAAAUUAGUACUCAGCGCCACAAGCCAAAUAACUGAUUGGAUCUCACGCGGUAGAAAAAGGAAACGUGAAGAGGAAGGGCCAGCUCAUUGCAACAUACUGCCUUUUGUGAUUAAAGAUAACAUUUCUAAGAGGAUCAAUGUAAUAGUGAAUCUUCUACACAGUAAUGGCAAUUCUGUGCAGGGGGCUCUUCAGCUUGAGAUCUUGCGCCCCAUGGCAGCAUCAAGUAAGAGUCAGAAUAUUACCAGAAAUGCUCACAUGACAACUUCUCAUUCAAUUGAACAUCAGGUGUACGGGAGGGAUGCAGAAAGAGAUGAGAUAAUAGAUCUAUUGAUAAAGGGGGGAUCUGGUGAUCUGAAUGUUUUACCAGUGGUUGGCAUUGGUGGUAUUGGGAAGACGACGCUUGCUAGAUAUGUAUACCAUGAUGAAAGAAUUACAAAUCAUUUCGAUUUGAAAAUGUGGAUUUGUGUAUCCACAAACUUCAGUGAAAGGAGACUGACAAUUGAGAUCUUAGAGCAUGUCUGUAAAGAUAGACAAGAGUACGAAAAUGUAAGCAAUUUCAAUGUACUACAGGAGAUCCUUUUGAAGUACAUCAGAAAGAAAAUAUUUCUGCUCGUAUUGGAUGACAUGUGGGAAGACAAGGACAAGAUUGGAUGGAUUAAACUCUUGGCUCCAUUAAAAGGUAAUCAAGUAAGUGGUUGCAUGAUACUAGCAACAACUAGAAUGAAAUCAGUUGCAGAAAUGAUACAAACGAUGGAUGAAGUCAGAAUGAGUGGCCUCAAUGAAAAGGAAUUUUGGCUGUUAUUCAAGGCAUGUGCAUUUGGUAAUGAGAACUAUGAGGGUGAUCCUUAUUUGCAGUCUAUUGGCAAACAGAUUGCUAAAGCACUAAAGGGCUGCCCACUUGCUGCACAAAGUGUUGGUGCACUUUUGAACACAAGUGUUAGUCAUAAGCAUUGGAGGACAGUUCGGUUCAAAUGGAGAUCUCUUCAAGACGAUGCCAAUGAUAUUUUACCCGUCUUGAAGCUCAGUUAUGAUUAUCUACCAGUCCACCUUCAACACUGUUUCUCAUAUUGCUCUUUAUUUCCAGAGGACAAACAAUUUGAUGGGAAAGAAUUGGUCCAUGCUUGGAUAUCACAGAAUUUUGUGCGGUGUGAAGACACUACCAUGAAAUUGGAGGAAACAGGGCAGCGAUAUUUGGAUAGAUUAGUUGAUUUGUGCUUCUUCCAAAAGGUUGGCUCAAAGUAUGUUAUGCAUGAUCUAAUGCAUGAAUUGGCAGGGAAAGUUUCAUCAAAUGAGUGUGCAACUGUACAUGGAUUGAAACAUGAGGAAAUUCGAUCAAGUGUUCGCCAUUUGUCAAUCAUAACUACUGCUUUUGAUAAAGAUAAACCUGGCAGUUUUCCUAUUGAGAAGUUUGAUCAAAUACUUCAGAAGGUUGGACCUUCGCAAAAAUUGAGGACUUUGAUGUUGUUUGGGCGAAGCAGCAUAAAUUUAUUAGGGUCCUUACAUACUUUAUGCAAAAAGGCAAAAUGUUUGCGGAUCCUAAGAAUUUAUGUGACAGAGGCUGACGUUAGCUCUAUACAGAGUCUGUUAAAUCCAUACCAUCUUCGUUAUCUUGAAUAUAUUCAUGUUGACCUUACAGACAGAUUGUUAUAUAGAGUCUACAACAACACUGUCACUGUGUUUCCUCAAGCAUCGACAAGAUUUUAUCACCUUCAAGUAUUGAAUUUGGGUAUUUCAGGCAAUUUUGCUGUGCCUAAUGAUAUUUAUAAUCUUGUUAAUUUGCGCCAUCUUAUUUCUCAUGAGAAAGUGCAUCAGGCAAUAGCUUGUGUUGGCAACAUGACCUCUCUUCAGGAACUAAAUUUCAAGGUUCAAAAUGUCAGUAAUUUUGAGAUAAGAGAACUUCAGUCUCUGAAUGAGCUUGUGCUACUUGAAAUUUCUCAACUUGAAAACGUGAGGACUAAAGAAGAGGCCAGUGGGGCCAGGCUGUUAGACAAAGAGUAUCUAGAAACUUUGUCCUUGUCAUGGCAGGAUAACAGCACGAAUCUUCAACCAGACGUAGCAAAGGAUGUGCUUGAAGGUCUUCAACCACAUCAGGAUCUCAAAACUCUAGAAAUAACUGGAUACGGUGGUGCUACCUCCCCAACCUGGCUUUCUAAUACUUCCUUAGUUACCUUGCUGCAGAUACUUCAUCUAGAGAAGUGCAGGGAAUGGCAAAUGCUUCCAACUCCUGAAAUGCUUCCUUUCCUUAGGAAGCUGACAUUGAUCAGAAUGUUGAAUUUAACGGAAAUCUCAGUUUCUUCCUUGGAAGAGUUGAUCUUGAUUGAUAUGCCAAAACUGAAAAAAUGUAUCGGUUCUUAUGGAAUGGAAUUGACAUCCCGUCUAAGGGUUUUGAUGAUCAAGAACUGUCCUCAAUUGAAUGAGUGCACUCUUUUCCAGAGUUACUCUUCUUUCAACGCUGAGCAGAAAUCAUGGUUUCCAUCUCUUAGGAAACUCUCCAUCGGGCAGUGUCCUCAUAUAUUAAACAACUGGCCAAUCCUUCCACUAAGAGAAAUGGAGGUGCUCAAGGAGUUGGAGUUGAUGGACCUACAUGUUGUCAGAGUGUCAGUUCCUUCUCUGGAGAAGUUGGUGUUGACUAAAAUGACAAGCCUGGAAUUUUGCAGCAGUCUAACGUCCCAAGGAGAUCAAAUGGGAUUGCCGUCUAGUCUGCGUAGACUUACCAUCCAUGAUUGCCCUUGUUUGAUAGUGUCACACCCUCUUCUGCCUUCUGCUUUGAUUUCCGAGUUAUCCAUCAGGGGAUUUCAGGGACUUGCAAAAAUGAGUAUAGACCAUAGAUGGUUCACUAUCGAAGAUAAUGAGUCGAGUGUGCUAGAUGAUAGUAUCCUGGCAUUCAGUAACCUUGGGGGCAUAACAUUGUUUCAAAUAAGAAACUGUCCAAAUCUGGUCUCUCUUUCAAGUGAAGCUUUCAGCCACCUCAUCGCUUUACAGGUGUUAGUUAUAGACGACUGCCCUAAUCUGACUAUGUCAAACAUUAUGCCAGAGGUUGUCCUCUCAUCUCUCAAACGUGUCCACAUUGACAGAUGUGGCGUAACUGGGAGGUGGCUAUCUCAACUUCUUUCACAUUCACUGUCCCUUGAGGACUUAAAAUUAAGGGACUGCCCGCAUAUAAAGUUUCUAUCAAUUAGUCAGCCUACAGAAACGGAAGGAACCAGCAGUUUGGCUUCAGCAGUGAUGACCUCGGCCCAAGAUGAGCAUGAAUUGAAACUUCCAUAUAAUAUCCUAUGUUCUCUCAAGAUGCUAUGGAUUCAGCAAAGCUUAGAUCUGAAGUUCUUUGGGGGUAAUAGAGAUUCUACAAGAUUCACCUCUCUUAGGGAGCUAGUCCUUGAUGAUUGCCCCAAGCUGGUCUCAUCGUUGGUUGGUGAAACGAAAGAUGAUGGUACCAUGGAAGUUGGAUUACUCCCUCCAUCACUUGAAGACCUUACUAUCACUCCUCUCCCAAGAAACUUGCAGUCCUUCACUCCUCAAGGCCUUCUCCACCUCAAAAAGCUAAGUUUAUCAGAUAGCCCAUGUUUGAAGUCUGUAGAGCUGCAUUCUUGUACGGCUCUACAGGAGCUGCAAAUCUGGCGUUGUGGUAAGCUGGCUGUACUGGAGGGCUUGCAGUUCCUGACCUCCAUUCGAAGCUUGGAUAUCUGGUUGAAUCCCGAGCUGUCUUGUGCAUGGGAGCUCAAACUGCAGGAGCAAGAACAAGGUGGCAAUCAAAUUCAGCUGCUUCCUCCGUCACUUGAUAAACUUGAGAUUUGUGAUCUCACAGAUAGGGUCCAGUCCCGUCUCCUGACCUGCCUCCCCGCCAUCACCAAAUUAGCAAUACGGUAUAGCCCAAAAUUGACGUCUCUACAGCUGGGAUGCUGCACGGCACUGAAAGAGUUGGAAAUUGGAUACGCCAACUUGCUUGUUUCGAUCGAGGGCCUCCAGUUCUGUAGAAACCUGACAUCCUUGAAAGUAUUUAAUUCCUCUGGCCUAGCUUCCUGUUUGGAGCUUGUGUCGCAUCAGCAAGGGGCCUCUGAGAUCUGGUCUAGACUGGAAACUCUUCAGAUGGAUGACGCAUCUGUCCUUUCCAUGCCCUUAUGCAAACAGCUCACAUCUCUAACACACCUGGAGUUUCGUUCUCGGAGUGUUGAACAGAGAGAGAGCUUGGUGAACCUAACAGGGGAACAAGAGAGAGGGUUACAACUUCUAACCUCCCUCCAAGAACUUCGGUUUCAGGGUUUCCCGAAUCUCUUGUCACUUCCUGAAAACCUUCACAGCCUUACCUCCCUUGAGAGGUUAUCUAUAUAUCAUUGUCAGAGCAUCACAAGGCUGCCAGACAUGGGCCUCCCACCAUCGCUCAGGCACCUUGAGUUAUUUUAUUGCAGUGAGGAGCUAGGCAUGCACAGCAGAAUUGUAACAACGGAGAAGCUAAAGGUCAGGAUUGAUCAUCAGUAUGCGAAUUAA